rnacentral:lncRNA from 1 species
GGGGGAGGGGCGGGCGGAGGGGCGGCGGGAGCGCGAGGCGGGGCGCGCAGGCUUUUGUGGCUCAGCCGCCUCUCGCGCAGCCCCAGCCCCCGGCCCGCAGCCCGGCCGCACCGGGCAGUGCGCGCUCCCCCUGCCCGCUCGCGCGGACUCCCGGCGCCCGCCCCCGCGGCCCCCACCUUCCGGGCCGCCCCCCUCGCCCCCGCCCGCCGCUCUGCCCCCUCCCCCUGCCCCGCCCCCAGCUCGGCCCGCAGGGACCCGCGCAGAGGCCGCCCGCUGCCACUUGGGGUGGGGGGGGGGGGGAGCGGCCCGGGCCCCCCUCACCGGCCGCGCACUGCGCGCCGCACCCUCGUGCCCGGGUCGGAGCUACGCUGAUGCGGCGGGGCUGAGGCGCCGUGGCCCGGGUCCUCCGGCGGGCGGCGUGAGCGGCUCUCACGCCCACCUCGCCCGGUCCGCUCUUGCUUGCCGCACGGGCUGAGCCUCCGCGCGGGACCUCGCGGCUGGCCGCCGGCCCCGCGCCGCCCGGCGUGCCCUGCGGGACCCGGAUCCCGGGCGCUUCCGUCGCGAGCCGCCAGGAGGGCCCUGAGCACUCGGGAGAAACGAUCGUUACCGGACAGACCGCCUCUGGCAGGACGUGGAGCCUCGCUGUCACUCGGGAAGGGACGAGACAGUCACAGGCCGGGGGCGCGGGCGGCGCACGCGGCUGCCCAGGUAGCGCAGAUCCAAGGAGACCGGUUGUAAACUGCAGGAUUGGACUUGAGCAGAGCCCACCCGCCUCCACCUGCAGGCGGUGGCCCCCCGUGGCCGAUGCUUUUGGAACUAGUUGGCGUGGACACGCGUGUUUCCGGGAACCGCGGUUUCCUGGAGGCCGAGCUCUGGGAAACGGCGGCCUGGGGCUCGAGGUCCUCCUCGGAAAGCAGCGGCGGCGCAGACCGAGGCGCCCUCCACUCCUCGCCCGGGGCUCCCGGGAGGCGGGCAGGCCCAGCGGCGACGCGGCCCGAAGUCGUGCGCGCGGGCGGCGAGGGGGCGCUGUGGCCCGCGGAUGCCGCCUCGUCCCCGCCGCGGUGGGCCUGGUGCCGUCCCCGGCCACCGAGGGCGCCCCGGCCGGACCUCCCCAACGUCGACUGCAUUCGGGGCAAAGGGACAGCAACCCUGGAGCGUUUGAAUAA